rnacentral:rRNA from 1 species
GAUGAACGCUGGCGGCGUGCCUAAUACAUGCAAGUCGAGCGAACAGAUGAGGAGCUUGCUCCUCUGACGUUAGCGGCGGACGGGUGAGUAACACGUGGAUAACCUACCUAUAAGACUGGGAUAACUUCGGGAAACCGGAGCUAAUACCGGAUAAUAUAUUGAACCGCAUGGUUCAAUAGUGAAAGACGGUUUUGCUGUCACUUAUAGAUGGAUCCGCGCCGCAUUAGCUAGUUGGUAAGGUAACGGCUUACCAAGGCGACGAUGCGUAGCCGACCUGAGAGGGGGAUCGGCCACACUGGAACUGAGACACGGUCCAGACUCCGACGGGAGGCAGCAGUAGGGAAUCUUCCGCAAUGGGCGAAAGCCUGACGGAGCAACGCCGCGUGAGUGAUGAAGGUCUUCGGAUCGUAAAACUCUGUUAUUAGGGAAGAACAAAUGUGUAAGUAACUAUGCACGUCUUGACGGUACCUAAUCAGAAAGCCACGGCUAACUACGUG